rnacentral:rRNA from 1 species
AAUGAACGCUGGCGGCAGGCCUAACACAUGCAAGUCGAACGGAUCCUUCGGGAUUAGUGGCGGACGGGUGAGUAACGCGUGGGAACAUACCCAAAGGUACGGAAUAGCCUCGGGAAACUGGGAGUAAUACCGUAUGUGCUCGAAAGAGGAAAGAUUUAUCGCCUUUGGAUUGGCCCGCGUUGGAUUAGGUAGUUGGUGGGGUAAUGGCCUACCAAGCCGACGAUCCAUAGCUGGUUUGAGAGGAUGAUCAGCCACACUGGGACUGAGACACGGCCCAGACUCCUACGGGAGGCAGCAGUGGGGAAUCUUAGACAAUGGGGGAAACCCUGAUCUAGCCAUGCCGCGUGAUCGAUGAGGGCCUUAGGGUUGUAAAGAUCUUCCAGGUGGGAAGAUAAUGACUGUACCACCAGAAGAAGCCCCGGCUAACUCCGUGCCAGCAGCCGCCGUAA